GCCUCAGUAACGGCGAGUGAAGCGGCAACAGCUCAAAUUUGAAAUCUGGCCCUUUCAGGGUCCGAGUUGUAAUUUGCAGAGGGUGCUUUGGCGUCGGCCGUGGUCUAAGUUCCUUGGAACAGGACGUCACAGAGGGUGAGAAUCCCGUACGUGGCCGCCGGUCUUCGCCGUGUAAAGCCCCUUCGACGAGUCGAGUUGUUUGGGAAUGCAGCUCUAAAUGGGAGAUACAUUUCUUCUAAAGCUAAAUAUUGGCCAGAGACCGAUAGCGCACAAGUAGAGUGAUCGAAAGAUGAAAAGCACUUUGGAAAGAGAGUCAAAAAGCACGUGAAAUUGUUGAAAGGGAAGCGCUUGCAGCCAGACGUGCCCGCAGUUGCUCACCCAGGCUCUUGCCUGGGGCACUCUUCUGCGGGCAGGCCAGCAUCAGUUCGGGCGGUUGGAUAAAGGUCUCUAUCACGUACCACCCUUCGGGGUGUCCUUAUAGGGGAGACGCAACACGGCCAGCCUGAACUGAGGACCGCGCAUCAGCUAGGAUGCUGGCGUAAUGGCUGUAAGCGGCCCGUCUUGAAACACGGACCAAGGAGUCUAACAUCUAUGCGAGUGUUUGGGUGUAAAGCCCGGGCGCGCAAUGAAAGUGAACGGAGGUGGGAACCCUUUGGGUGCACCAUCGACCGAUCCUGAAGUCUUCGGAUGGAUUUGAGUAAGAGCAUAGCUGUUGGGACCCGAAAGAUGGUGAACUAUGCCUGAAUAGGGUGAAGCCAGGGGAAACCCUGGUGGAGGCUCGCAGCGGUUCUGACGUGCAAAUCGAUCGUCAAAUUUGGGCAUAGGGGCGAAAGACUAAUCG
rnacentral:rRNA from 1 species